CACUCGACAGUCGCUGGCGGCUUGGGGCGCCUCCUCCGCCGCCCGCCGACGGAGCGGCGGUGCGCCUCGCUUAGGGUCGCUACGACUCCGCGGGCUAAAGGCGCCGCCCUGCAAUGCCCUGCAAUGCGCUGCUGGUAGAAGGCAGCCCUGGAGAAGGAAAGUGGCCUCCUCCUCCACGCUAGGCAGACGUCUCGGAAGAGGUGGCAAGGAGAAUGAGGAGCGGGUGCAGAACCAGACGGCCUGGCUCUUCUCUUGUCGAUGCCCGUGUGUGACGCUUCGUCCCGCGUGUGACGCCGUGUCCCGUGUGACGCUUCGUCCCUCGUGUGACGCUUCGUCCCGCGUGUGACGCCGUGUCCCGUGUGACGCUUCGUCCCGCGUGUGACGCUUCGUCCCGCGUGUGACGCUUCGUCCCGCGUGUGACGCCGUGUCCCGUGUGACGCUUCGUCCCUCGUGUGACGCCGUGUCCCGUGUGACGCUUCGUCCCCCGUGUGACGCCGUGUCCCGUGUGACGCUUCGUCCCACGUGUGACGCUUCGUCCCGCGUGUGACGCCGUGUCCCGUGUGUGACGCCUCGUCCCGUGUGACGCUUCGCCCCGCGUGUGACGCUUCGUCCCGUGUGACGCUUCGUCCCGUGUGACGCGGCUGCCACCCGCGACGGAUGUUUGAGAGCAACCCGCGAGAAGUCCAACAUCCUCCUGACAAAGAGCAGCACCUACGGCAGCGCCACGCGAAGCCGCCUUUGUCUCCCGAGUGGCGAUAUUCACGCGACUUUAAGGAGGCCGAGUCGACGUAGGGGAGAGCCGCAAGCACACCAACCCACACGCGCAGGCAGACGCUCGCUCGCUCGCUCACACGCUGCCUGCCCUGUCUAUGGCACUGGUAGAAUUCACUGUUCCCGCUGACCUCAGUGAAUUACUAGAGGCCAUAAACAGAGCAGGGAAACGUCACCCGCUAACCUGACCACCCGUGACCUUGCCUGACCUCCCGUGACCUUGCCUGACCUCAACUGACACACAAGGUCAAUGGAGAGGCACGCAGGGCUGAUAAAGGAUUGUGGGAUUUUGCCUUGGAUCAUGACACCACACACACACACCACACAUAGACCACACAUACACCACACACACACCACACAUACACAACACAUAC